AAACCAUGAUUGGGAGACCUCACCAAAUAUAACUUGAAUCGAUCCCAUGCCUCAUGUAGAUGUUCUCCUGGUAAUUGCUUGAAAAGGAAGAUUUUAUCCCGGAGCUC
rnacentral:snoRNA from 1 species